AGAGUUUGAUCCUGGCUCAGGAUGAACGCUAGCGACAGGCUUAACACAUGCAAGUCGAGGGGCAGCGGGGGUAGCAAUACCCGCCGGCGACCGGCGCACGGGUGAGUAACGCGUAUGCAACUUACCUAUCAGAGGGGGAUAACCCGGCGAAAGUCGGACUAAUACCGCAUGAAGCAGGGGCCCCGCAUGGGGAUAUUUGCUAAAGAUUCAUCGCUGAUAGAUAGGCAUGCGUUCCAUUAGGCAGUUGGCGGGGUAACGGCCCACCAAACCGACGAUGGAUAGGGGUUCUGAGAGGAAGGUCCCCCACAUUGGUACUGAGACACGGACCAAACUCCUACGGGAGGCAGCAGUGAGGAAUAUUGGUCAAUGGGCGUAAGCCUGAACCAGCCAAGUCGCGUGAGGGAUGAAGGUUCUAUGGAUCGUAGACCUCUUUUAUAAGGGAAUAAAGUGCGGGACGUGUCCCGUUUUGUAUGUACCUUAUGAAUAAGGAUCGGCUAACUCCGUGCCAGCAGCCGCGGUAAUACGGAGGAUCCGAGCGUUAUCCGGAUUUAUUGGGUUUAAAGGGUGCGUAGGCGGCCUUUUAAGUCAGCGGUGAAAGUCUGUGGCUCAACCAUAGAAUUGCCGUUGAAACUGGGAGGCUUGAGUAUGUUUGAGGCAGGCGGAAUGCGUGGUGUAGCGGUGAAAUGCAUAGAUAUCACGCAGAACCCCGAUUGCGAAGGCAGCCUGCCAAGCCAUGACUGACGCUGAUGCACGAAAGCGUGGGGAUCAAACAGGAUUAGAUACCCUGGUAGUCCACGCAGUAAACGAUGAUCACUAGCUGUUUGCGAUACACUGUAAGCGGCACAGCGAAAGCGUUAAGUGAUCCACCUGGGGAGUACGCCGGCAACGGUGAAACUCAAAGGAAUUGACGGGGGCCCGCACAAGCGGAGGAACAUGUGGUUUAAUUCGAUGAUACGCGAGGAACCUUACCCGGGUUUGAACGCAUUCGGACCGAGGUGGAAACACCUUUUCUAGCAAUAGCCGUUUGCGAGGUGCUGCAUGGUUGUCGUCAGCUCGUGCCGUGAGGUGUCGGCUUAAGUGCCAUAACGAGCGCAACCCUUGCCACUAGUUACUAACAGGUAAAGCUGAGGACUCUGGUGGGACUGCCAGCGUAAGCUGCGAGGAAGGCGGGGAUGACGUCAAAUCAGCACGGCCCUUACAUCCGGGGCGACACACGUGUUACAAUGGCGUGGACAAAGGGAAGCCACCUGGCGACAGGGAGCGAAUCCCCAAACCACGUCUCAGUUCGGAUCGGAGUCUGCAACCCGACUCCGUGAAGCUGGAUUCGCUAGUAAUCGCGCAUCAGCCAUGGCGCGGUGAAUACGUUCCCGGGCCUUGUACACACCGCCCGUCAAGCCAUGGGAGCCGGGGGUACCUGAAGUCCGUAACCGCGAGGAUCGGCCUAGGGUAAAACUGGUGACUGGGGCUAAGUCGUAACAAGGUA
rnacentral:rRNA from 1 species